GAAAGAGGCUAUUCAUGGGCCCACAGUCUACUCACCAAGGCUGCACUAAAUGUCCAACCUGUCAGCAGCAUUGACUAAUGCUAAUCCCUUUGUACAGGAUCAUCUCUCAAGGACACCAACAAUCUACUUGGUGGGAUAAGUUUCCUCCAUUGGACCCCUUCUGUAUUGGAAGAAACAAAGAAUGCAUUUUGACUUGACAACACAUAUUCCGGGGCUCAAGGAAAGUUUCCUGCAAUACUAGCUGAAAUGGGUCACCAGUUUCUCCUCGUGGGAGGCAACCCAAGACUCUGAUUGCGCUGAGUAAAGCUGGUCAGCUAUUUUACAAGGAAAACACCUGGCACCGAAUCCUGGGCUCUUUAGAGAACUGCUAGCUAAGCCUCUUCCCUGGGGUAAAUUCAGCGAGAAGCGCUGUGAGUCUGAGCUUGCCAGGAUCGUGUGGGCCACACCCAGCAGUUAAUAAGUUGUUCCGAACUCUACGUGCCCCAUCUUAAUAGCUAGUUCUCCUCCCAAUUUGUAGGUUCCCAUAAUCAUGUGGCUACUCAAAUGAGCACAGAGGAAACCACUAACAAUUUGGAGACGAGACAGAGUCCAGAAAAGGAAGAAAAGUCCUGAAAAUAUAAAUUUAGCUUGAGGUGUUCCAUGAACACGAGACAGAGAGCUAGAAUUAGGGUUUGUUCUAAAUUUCAAAAUCGACAAAACAGUGGCUUCUCUGAAAGCAGAGUCAUUUGGAUAAGGAACUCAGUCAAGCUGGCGUCUUCAUGAGUGCAAGGGAACUGAUCAAAGAAUGCAAAACUUCUGAGACUCUUUGGUCCAUCUGGUGACAACUGGUCAGAACAGUUUGCCAUGACAGCCACCUGAGAAAAGCAUUCUGCAAGUGGCUAGGGAAACUAAAGCUUUCUCUUCCCCAAAAUGAUAGUUUCGAGCACUAGCGUUUAACUUAGAACCAGCCCAGCAGUCAGCAGGAAAGAAUAUAAGUAUGGAGAGGGAAGCAGGAGACAGACGAUGUGAAACUUUGAAGUCUGGGAUUUCUUCUAAGCCAAGUUAAAUGAUAUUGCAGAGUUUUAAGCAGGAAAAUUGACAUCAUAUCAAUUACGCUAAUAAAAGGUCGCUCUCUCUGGUUUCGAUGUGGAGAAUGGACAGUUUGCAGGAACUUGAGAGCAGAAGCAAGAAGAGUUGCUGGAACAAAAGCUAGAUGCUAGUGGUUUGGACCAAGGGGUGACAACAGAGAUCUAGGGAAGUGAAGAGAUUCCAAAGAUUAGCCCUGAGCUAACAUCUGCUGCCAAUCCUCCUCUUUUUGCUGAGGAAGACUGGCCCUGAGCUAACAUCCAUGCCCAUCUUCCUCUACUUUAUAUGUGGGACGCCUACCACAGCAUGUCAUGCCAAGCAGUGCCAUGUCCACACCCAGGAUCCGAACUGCCGAACUCCAGGCCGCUGAAGCAGAGGUGGAGGUUGAGAAAAGCUCCCAGAAGGAAGGACCAUUGAAUUUGGCCUCAGAGGAUCAAUUAAGCAGAGAGAAGGGAAAAAACCCUGAAGACUGAGAUUGGUAAUUCAACUAAGACGCUGAGUCGGGAAAAAAGAAGACAUAUUUAGGGUGCAAAAUUGUUUAUUAUGCGUAAAAUUCCUGGUGACUCAGAGAGCAUAAAGACAGACAUUAGAGUAGAAAGGGUGUUGAGAUGAGUUGUUGAAGGGUGUUGAGGAGCAGACAGAGGAAUGUAAACUGCAUUCUAGAAUCAAGGUUCUAAGAAAUACCACGAUCAGCUUUGGGUUUGGCAAAGACGAUUCUAAUGGCAGUGUCUACAGAGCAAUUAGAAGGAAGAUAGAUCAGAAGCAGAGAAGUCAGAAGUCAGUUGCAAUUGUCUGAGAAAAAAGAAACAAGGUAAAGUGGCAAUGGGAGUAGAAGAGAGUGGAUGAUUGAAGAGACUUUGUAAAAGUGUGACCAAUAGAUUUAGUGACAGAUGUCAUAGGAGUGAGGGUGAGGCAGAGUUGAAGAGAAUCCCAAGGGUUCUUGCCCCACGCGGAUUGGGUGGACCAAGAUCAGACACCCUUACACCAUUGUGACUUUGUAAGCCCUUCCUUCGGACUGAACUUCUAUUCCCCAUUUACCUCCCGUAGGCCCUCCAGCCCUCUUUCAAAGCUUGAGUCAUAGUCCACUUCCUGCAGAGGAGCUUCUCAGAUUCCCCGCCCUAUACUCCACCCACCCUCAG
rnacentral:lncRNA from 1 species